UGUGGUGUUUCACUCACACACAUUAAAGGUCCCAAAUGGCAGAAGAUUAUUUUUUUUCUCUCAGAGUUUUUCUUAGAAAUAGAUAUCUAUAAUAAAACUGCCAUCCGUGUAUUCAGGACUGAAAUGAUGACAAGUAGAAAUAUUACCGUGUACUAUAGCCAUGGGUGUCCAACACUUUUUCUGCUCCAAGGUUUACAUUUUUUCCCAAUUGGCUGGAAGCAAAUAGAAAUUCAACUUUGUUCCUAUGGGAAGCGUGAGUGAGGAGAACUCGUUUCAAGGUCUGGCCUAUAUGUGUUUGGAAGUUAAGUAUGUGUGUGCCAAAUCUGGAUAUUGACUUGUUGGCUCAGGAUGAGAUCUUUGAACACUUAUCGUAUCUUCAGUUGUCCAUCAAAAUCCAAUGAUGACGUCCACUCUUUUAAUGGUGAGACCUUUGAUGACUACACAGUCCUAUCCUGGACCCACAAGUUCUAUUGCAGGUGGGACAUGUAUAUGUGGUAGUGAUGGCAACCAUGGCUGCAUUUCUCCUGGCUCUCUUCUGCUGUCUUCUGGUUGUUCUUUCCAUCUCCAGUAUACAAACCCCAUCCCUACACAGAUGUCGCCAAGUGUUAUGGUCAGCAGCAACAUCCUCCAGAUCCUCAGGAUUGAUCUUGCACUUACUUAAAGCAUUCUUCAUCCGAUCCUUAUAGCGUUUCUUCAGCCCUCCUGCUGAGCGUCAACCGUGAUGUAGCUGGCAGUAUAACACUCUGCAGGGUAGCCAAUAUGGGGGCAUCCUUAUCACAUUCCCCAGCCACUGCAGCUGACACUGGGUGAUCACGGCCUCAAUACUUCUGCAGUUGGUCUUUACAAGUAUUUCAGUGUGAGGCACCUGCUCAUGCCAGGUAAUUCCCAGGAUGCGCUGAAGGCAGCUUAUGUGGAAGUGCUCCAAGGACUUGAUGUUGACGGCUGCAGGUUACCCAAGCUUCACAGCCAUAAAGGAGGGUGGUGACACAGACCUCUUGGUAUACUGCGACCUUUGUGGAGGGACGAAGGCUCCUGUUCUGAAAGACUCUACGCCGAAGUCUCCCAAAGACAGCUGAUGCCUGUUUAAUGCUGCCCUGGAUGUAUAAUUAAUGUUGAAAAGACAUUUAAAGGUUUAUUUAAUGACAUGCUCCAGUCAAUCUAACCAAGGUAUCAUUAAAACAAAUUGUUUUCACCUCUGCAACAUUGCCUGACCACAGUCCUGUUUUAUAUCAUCUGCUGGAAAUAUGAUACAUCUGUACUUCUGUUACCUUUAAACUUCAUAAUUUCAACUUAAUCUUGGCUGCGCUUUUUCACUUUCUGAACAUAAACUGAAAAAAAUUCCAAAGCUCUUCUUUCUGUCCAUGUCCUAACUUGCUUCAAAUCUGCUUAUACAUCACCAGUGAGCUUGUUGGCUUUGUGGCAUUGCAUAGUUAAAUAACACCAUUAGAUGAAAAAAAAUCUCACUUUUAUUUUCAAAUAUUUUCAUAGUUCAGCUAUUUUGUGGCAGGAAAUCCAUUUACGUGCAUCAGUACUACCAAAUAACUGGCAUUUUGAUUUCUGUUAACCAAUAAUGUGAUGUUUUUGUGUGAGUUAAUGCCAGCCAUUAACAGGAAUUUUUGUUGUGAAAGAAUUGUGUAUCAUAAUGUCGUGUUUCUGGCAUCAAAUGAUAGCAACUGUUGUGCAAUAAACAUAAUUUA